ensembl:lncRNA
AGGAGGAAUUAGAGGAGGCUUUGAGGAUAUUUAAAUCUUCUGUGUACAUCUGACUGCUUUUAUUUUGCUCCGUUUAAAGAGAUUUUGCAAAUAAAGAGGGGUGGGAGUUUCUGUUCUGAGAUCUACUUGCUUUAUGCUUUUAACUUAGAGGCCGCCAGUAAAUCUUUGAAGAAGGAUCGCCUUGGAGUUCCCUGGUGGCUCACUGGGUUAAGGGUCAGUGUUGUCACUGCUGUGGGUUUUGAAGCCUCCUAUGAAAGAUUGGACAUGAUAAUAUAGUUAAGCAAAAAGUAACGUGUAGCCCCUCCCCACCCCCGCUUUUAAAAGUUCCUUGCAGCCAUUUGUAACCGAAUGAGUCUGUGGUUAUGUGAUAACCACACAGAGGUGACAAAUUGCCAAGUUCUAGUAAAAGAUACCCAGUUAUUUAAAGGUUGACAUGUAAAUAUGUCCCUUUUGGAAAUAUUCUAAGCGGUUGUUUGCCUUCCAUGCAUAUUUAAAUGUAUACUUACAGUGAAGUAAUCUGGCUUGUAAAAUACGGGGUUCACAUGGAGGUUCCCAGGCUAGGGGUCGAAUCAGAGCUGUAGCUACCGGCCCACACCACAGCCACAGCACAGCAAUGCAAGACCUGAGCUGCGUCUGCGACCUACACCACAGCUCACGGCAACACCGGAUCCUUAACCCACGGAGCGAGGCCAGGGAUCGAACCUGCGCCCUCGUGGUUCCUAGUCAGAUUCAUUUCUGCUGAGCCACGACGGGAACUGGACCCGUUGCCACCUAGUAGGCUGCCAGCAGCAAGCAUGUAUUCUCCUCUGAGUAGAAUUAGAAUACAUUUGAUCAGUUCAGGGCCGUCAUCCCACUUUGGCUCAUUUUACGGGACAGCUUGCUAAGUGGGUUAGUGUCUUACUUAUUCACCAUCUGCUUCCUUUCUGGUUUCCUAAGCGUGUGUGGGAGCAGGGGUUCACGUGAAGGAUGUCAGAAGGAAGGCUGUUUGGAGAAGCUGGGCAUUUGGUUUAAACAGAGGCAUCUCGUGGUGUGUGGAACUUAUCUGCAAUAUAAGCAAAAAGGCAGUUGAGGGCAUCCGUGGAUUUUUGGAUUGGGCAGGCGGAGUAUUUUGCUUGAGUAUCGGGACCACUUUUUUGGUUUUGGCCGCUUUGAAACACGUGGCAGAAUCUAGGCGAGGGGACUUCUGCUGGCCUCUCUGCAAGAGCCUCCUAAUGGUCGCAGCAAGCAGCCCAAAGCACGGGGAAGUUAGACAGCAGCCUUCGGGCUCUCCUCGCCUUAGACAACCUCACUUGUGGAGAGCAUUUUCCAGAAGGGAAGACAGGCUGUUGCUGUGGGUCUCAGAUCGGAGCAAUACACCUGAUCCUUCCAUUCAGGGAGGAGUCCCGAGUAGGUAAACUAACACACAAACAAACAACGCACCAAGUUCACUUGUGCAAAAAUAUCGAUGGCGAGAGCUUGGUAGGGAAAAAAUACGGGGCAUAAAGAGAAAGGCAGCAGAGCAUUUAAAGGCGUGUGGGGCUGAUGCCCCUCGAGAGCAAAGACGGGCAUAGACGGGGUUAAGCCUGUGUGGGUGAUGAGCGAUGGCAGAGGAACCUGGGGGUGGACGUGUCGGGGUCCCAGCCGGAGGAAGAAGGUUCUGGACCCAGGAAGGAGGUAGGGUCAGGGUGCCUGCAUCACCUAAUGAUGGGGGGGAUGGGGGAUGGAUGUCUCAUCGUGGGGGGUGGGGGGCUGCCCAGCCCCCACUGGAACAGCCUGGAAACCAAAGAUUGCAACCGCCAGCCAGUGCAGGGACAGGAAGUCCAGAUGGAGCCCUGGUGUGUCGAACCGAAAGAGGAAGGUCCCUCUCCUGGUGGAGGGUGACAGCGGCUGGCGACAGGAGGAAGGCUUAAGCGGAAAGCCCUCCAUGCGGAGCGGCAGGGAACCCUUCCAGGUCCUGGCUUCGGGUGUGAAUGUGGCGUGAAGAGGAUCCAGCGCGACGGAGCCUUGUAAAUCACCUCUAGUGCCAUGGAAUAAAGUCUCUGAAGAAGUAUCGAGCAGGAGAGCAACGUACGAAGAGAAAAUCGGGUAUUUCCCUGCACUCUGGAAAGGAGAAAUUAUUGAUUUUUUUCCCUGCCGCAGUCUCUUUACUUAGAUGAAUCUCCUGCAGUUCGCUUUUAGUGGCUCGGUCAGAAGUCUAAGUGAAAGUGAAUAUUUAACCACGUUCAAGGACGACUGAUAAUCUUUCCUGCUAAUAGAGGCGCAAGACUCAAGAGAAAGAAGAAUCUAG